GAUGAACGCUGGCGGCGUGCCUAAUACAUGCAAGUCGAGCGAACAGAUGAGGAGCUUGCUCCUCUGACGUUAGCGGCGGACGGGUGAGUAACACGUGGAUAACCUACCUAUAAGACUGGGAUAACUUCGGGAAACCGGAGCUAAUACCGGAUAAUAUAUUGAACCGCAUGGUUCAAUAGUGAAAGACGGUUUUGCUGUCACUUAUAGAUGGAUCCGCGCCGCAUUAGCUAGUUGGUAAGGUAACGGCUUACCAAGGCAACGAUGCGUAGCCGACCUGAGAGGGUGAUCGGCCACACUGGAACUGAGACACGGUCCAGACUCCUACGGGAGGCAGCAGUAGGGAAUCUUCCGCAAUGGGCGAAAGCUUGACGGAGCAACGCCGCGUGAGUGAUGAAGGUCUUCGGAUCGUAAAACUCUGUUACUAGGGAAGAACAAAUGUGUAAGUAACUAUGCACGUCUUGACGGUACCUAAUCAGAAAGCCACGGCUAACUACGUG
rnacentral:rRNA from 1 species